AUCGAUUCAAUAUUAACAUAUGCAAUCCAUAUUCAAAUUUCUCCAGUUGUCAGUAAAAAAAUCUGAUAAAGGUGGAGUUCCAGUCAUGGCUCAGUGGUUAACGAAUCUGACUAGGAAUCAUGAGGUUGAGGGUUCGAUCCCUAGCCUUGCUUGUCAGGUUCGUUUCCACCUCGCCGCCACAGGAACUCCCGUUUAGUCUGUUUUUGUAUGUGGCUAAUUCUGUUUUCUGGGAAAUACAAGUGGCGGUUGUUCUCAAACGUGAAGCCACCCAGUGAGAUUUUUAAAAUUCCAAGUGAUGGCUGUAUCCAAAAUCACUUAAAUCAGAAUUUCUGGGGAUGGCACCCAGGCACCAGUAUUUUUAGAAGUUCUCAGGGUACAAUGGGGAAAUUUGAGACCCAAACAUAAGGGGUUGGGUGAGUUCCUUAAUGAAAAUCAGCGUACAAUUAGAGAAACAGAAGAAAAAUGCCAUAGUCAAUAAUAUACAUUGUAGGGCUAUCAACUACUAAGUUAUACUUCAUAACAAACAUAAGAAAUCAAGUCUUGAAGAAUACUUUACGGAAACACAGAAGGAGAAAUAAAGCCUAGAAGAAUACUACUGUGUUUAUAGAGUAUGGACAAAGAAUGUCACCUGCCAUUUCAGUAAAUAAUAGAUGCUGUGGCCAAAAAGCGAUCAACCACUGCAGCCACCCCUACAGUGCACCCUGAGGGGAUUCAGGAUGGAGAAAAACAAGAUGAUGGCCCUGCAGAGUUAAGGUGCAUAUCAAAGGAAUGGUUUCAAUAAGCCCAGACUCUUGCAUCUUCCUAUACCUAAAAGCACUAAAAGCAUUAACUUGAGAUGUCUGUUUUCGUGAUUAGCAGUUGCAUUUUUUUAGAAAGAGAUGGGGAUCAUGUUAUUCAGAUUCCUGCUGAAAGCAAUCCAAGGGUUCCCAAAGUACUAAAACUAAAAGUGUGAGGCCAAUCUCCUUUGCCCUCCCAGCCACUGGGGCUUUCUGCUGCUCUAACAGUUCAAACUUUUUCGUCCUUCGGAAAUUAUGCAUAUUUCGUUCCCAUUGUAUGGACAUAUCAUUUAAAUUGGGCAAGUUUUCUGAGUGAUAAUUCUCUAGGGAGGACACUAUCACCAAAUAUUAAGCAGGUCUUAUGUGAUCUGAUGAGAUGAAGUAAAGAGAAGGCACCAGCAUACCGGCUGAUUCCUGGGGAUCAAAAUCAAGCUUCUAUUUUCCUAAUUGGGGAAUCUACAUAUAAACAGGCUACACAGAUACUUGUAAGUGCAGUAUACACAAACUCAUGGAAUUUGUUAGUACCAAAUCUAAUAAUUAUCUUUUUUUGUACACAAUAGAGCACAUGGGUAAAAAAAUUCUGCCACCAGCAUUUUGUUCCUUAACACCAGACGGCUACACCUUUGAAAUUUUAUGCUGCAUGCAGAAGUUUAUAUACUACAAAAAAAGAAAAAAGAACAAAAGGCAUUUUGCUUAACAACUUGGAUGUAGACACAUGCACUUGCG
rnacentral:lncRNA from 1 species